AUAUAUAUAUAUAUAUAUCCCAAGGCUAUGGCCUAGCUUACUAAUAAUCUUUUUUAUUUUAAGGAAGUUCAAAAUAUACAUUGGAUGUUCAUCAAUCAAUGAUUGUUACAGUUUUACUUGGAUUCAUAAAACAGGACGUUUUCUUUCAGAAGAAAGAAGGUGAAAUUGGAAGAAUUUCCACCAAACUUAAGAUCCAGUGCCUAACUUUGUAAUGUAUCAACAACAAAAAAAUACUUCAGUAAAUUGUCAAUCUGACCUUCAUCUCAGGCAGGUAAUUUCCAACGUCCUGUAUUCUAAAUAUGAGGGGCUCUAAAAGGACCAGAUCACACAUACAGUAUUGGUAAUUAUGAAAGCUUGGGGGCAUGUUAUGGUUGUGAACAUCCAAAAUUGAUGUUCACAUUUUUGGAACUUAGAGAUUAUUUCAAUUAAGAACUAACUCUUAUGUCAAUGUUCUUAAAAUAAAUAUGAUGCUUUGAGACA
rnacentral:lncRNA from 12 species